rnacentral:rRNA from 1 species
UACAGAGGGGGCAAGCGUUGUUCGGAAUUACUGGGCGUAAAGGGCGCGUAGGCGGCCUGUUAAGUCGAACGUGAAAUCCCCAGGCUCAACCUGGGAACUGCAUUCGAGACUGCAUUGCUAGAGUAUGGGAGAGGGAAGUGGAAUUUCAGGUGUAGCGGUGAAAUGCGUAGAUAUCUGAAGGAACAUCAGUGGCGAAAGCGACUUCCUGGACCAAUCUGACGCUCAUGUGCGAAAGCGUGGGGAGCAAACAGG